GCGCUCGUAGCUCAAUUGGAUAGAGCAUCUGAUUACGGAUCAGAAGGUUGGGGGUUCGAGUCCCUCCGAGCGCGCUA
rnacentral:tRNA from 1 species